AUUCAGUUCCUUUCUCGUUUUGCUCAGCCACGGAGGAGCGAGAGCAAAGCAGCGCUUGCUUUGCUUCUUGCUUCAAAUUGCUCCAGAUCUCAUCUGAAAGGAGUUUCUAAAUUAAACGGCGAGACGUACAAGAUGAAUACAGAUUGCGUGGCUUAAGGUGGUGCGUUACCAUUAUCGACCUUAUUUGUGUGCAAGCUGCUAAGACCAACAAAACUAAAGCAUUCUCACUGAUUGAGGAAGGGGAUGAGGAACGGAAUCAUAAAACAUACACAUGGCAGUUUGACACGACAGAUUCGAUGCUUAACGAACCAGAGAGGAUUACAUGCGGAAUCGUCAAACUUGCACAGAAUCAAAUUACCAGCAGGGCCGCAAUUGAUAAGGACGACGAGCAGCUCUCAUCCACAUAACAGCACAUUUUCCACCACCCCGACCACCGCCACCAUAUAUGCAAUGACGAUGAUGGAAUUCCGUUAUGUGCGCUUCGUUGAUUUUCGAUCCCACACUGGUCGCGUGAGGGUGGAAUGAUUUUUGUUUGCUCGUCUUCGACUUUUAUUGUCUCCAAUAAUGUCCUCAGUCUCACUCUGUGUGCACGACGUUUUUUACUUAAGUUUACUCUCAUGUCAGUUCAACUACCAUCCAUGUAAAACAGAUUAAGUGGGCUAGAAAAAAAAUCGAUGGGACAAAUAAAUAUUUACCUUUCCGUACCGUU